CGUGUCCUAGUAGGACACUUGUAUCCUAGGCCUCUCAUAUAUAGCGGGGGUAGACACACGAUGUAACCUAUGCCAACAUAAUAGCACUGGAACGCAGGGAAAGCCGGCGGCAUGUGCCGGCGUCCAGGGCGACCAGGUGCGGUGUUGUAGCGGUGUCAUGGGGAGGAGCGCCCAUAGUCAGGCCCCGGGGAUGUAGCCAUAUCGGUGAACCUCGUUAAUAAAUCUCGGUGUCGUGCUCGUGUGAUUGCUUGGUCCUCGGAUGAUCGACGGUAUGCCUCGGAUUUAUUCUAACAUGUGUUGGUUUGUCUCGCGGUCUCACCCACAAAAACAGAGGAGAGGAGCAGGGAGCUCCUCCCUCACACUCGCUGGCUCCAAGGAGCCCCGCCGCCAUGCAUGGUGGAGAGGAGCAGGGAGCUCCGCCGCCAUGUAAGGCAAACCAAGUCUGCAACGUUUGAAUAUUAUACUCAGUCAGUUGCUCGACUACUUAUAGUCCUAUUACUCUAGUCUUAUACUUGGUCAGUUGCUGUGUACAUUAUUCUGACAUAAAUGACACCAUGUCUAUGUGCAAGUCAGAAGGAGCUGACCAUCUAAAAAGAUGUCAAAUUAGUGUGGUACAUGCUUCAGUACUGCAAGUUGGAGUAGCAAGAUUUCUCUUCUUGAAACACACAGAGUUCUUGAUAAAUGAGAAAGAGUCAGUUAUGUCAACACCAUGAGCACCCUUGGAUAAAAGUUUACAAUCUGUGGUUCCCUGGGAGAGAUCUUGUAAGAACAUAAGUGCCUUUGAAGAAAAGAGAAAGGAGGACAUAAAAUGUUUUCCCAAUUUUCCUUCCACCAUUUGGUAACCCUUUGCGGAAUGGUCUGGGAAGGUUUGCAACAUUCUCUACUCAUCUGAUGGGAAAUCUGUUUGUUCUCUAUCAUGUGACUCGCUUUGGAGCUGAUGCAGAGUUCGCAGGUCCUGCUAUUUGAUCAAUGGAUGCAACCUAUGUGUGCAUGGAGAUGAUGGCGAGGCAUCGCGCUGAGCUGACAACGAGGAAAGUAACUUGGCUGAAGGCAUCGGCAACGGGUGGCUGUCGAGGAAAGCGGCGCGGUGAUGGGGGAGGUGGGUGGCGAGGGAUGAUUGAGCGGUGAAUGGCAGCCAAGGAGACGGAGCGGCGGCGAGAUUGGACGAGCUUGCCUUCGGAGUGCGUGUGAUGCAAGAUUUCCUUUCUGGGUUGACCGAGGGCCUCCUUGUGUGUUUAUUAUUUCCGGUUGAAGCAGUGAACUUGCAGGGUUAAAGCAUUUUCUUUUGCCGAAGGGGAGGGUAGAAAACAAAAAUAAUCAGAGGGGGGAUGAGGAGGUUUGUGGUGGGAGGGGGUGGAAACCCUCGAAGCGAUUUUGGUAGGAGCAGACUGUUCAUUUGUUUAUUGACAUGUUCAUAUUGUGCAUCCUUUUGUUAUUGGAUUUGGAAACACGUGUAAUGUUUCCAUAUCUUGAAAUUACGAAUACUGAGAAGUGCAAGCCUUUCUCUUCUAGAAAAUUUGGGAAUUGGCUCACACACUAUUAAAUAAUUUG